AUUGAACGCUGGCGGCAGGCCUAACACAUGCAAGUCGAGCGAGCGGCGGACGGGUGAGUAAUGUAUGGGGACUGCCCGAUAGAGGGGGAUAACUACUGGAAACGGUGGCUAAUACCGCAUACUAUCGGAUAACCCAUAUGGGAUUAGCUAGUAGGUAAGGUAAUGGCUUACCUAGGCGACGAUCCCUAGCUGGUCUGAGAGGAUGAUCAGGCACACUGGGGAUGAGAAACGGGCCAGGCUCCUACGGAGGCAGCAGGGGGGAAGUUUGCAACAUGGGCGCAAAGCGGAUGCAGCCAAGCCGCGGGGAAGGAGGAGGGCCUAGGGUUGUAAAGUACUUUCAGUCGGGAGGCGUUACCGACAGAAGAAGCACCGGCUAACUCCGUGCCAGCAGCCGCGGUAAUUC
rnacentral:rRNA from 1 species